rnacentral:rRNA from 1 species
CCUACGGGUGGCAGCAGUGAGGAAUAUUGGUCAAUGGACGAGAGUCUGAACCAGCCAAGUAGCGUGAAGGAUGACUGCCCUAUGGGUUGUAAACUUCUUUUAUAUGGGAAUAAAAUGUUCCACGUGUGGGAUUUUGUAUGUACCAUAUGAAUAAGGAUCGGCUAACUCCGUGCCAGCAGCCGCGGUAAUACGGAGGAUCCGAGCGUUAUCCGGAUUUAUUGGGUUUAAAGGGAGCGUAGGUGGAUUGUUAAGUCAGUUGUGAAAGUUUGCGGCUCAACCGUAAAAUUGCAGUUGAAACUGGCAGUCUUGAGUACAGUAGAGGUGGGCGGAAUUCGUGGUGUAGCGGUGAAAUGCUUAGAUAUCACGAAGAACUCCGAUUGCGAAGGCAGUUCACUGGACUGCAACUGACACUGAGGCUUGAAAGUGUGGGUAUCAAACAGGAUUAGAUACCCGAGUAGUC